GACUAGAGGCACACUCAGGUAUCUCCUGUUGUCUCAGUGUGCUGGAGUCUGAAAAGAGCAACUGCUGACCUUAUUCUUCUGUGACCCUGUGGCAUCGUCAGUCACCAAGUUAGUGACAUGG